GCUCGGGCCGAGGCUGCGGCGCGGGCACGGGUUGAGCCCGAGGUGGGGGCGGGGGGAAGAAGCCCCUGUGUGCCCGGGGCUGCGUUUCCUGCCAGGCGGCUCCACCCGCUGCGGCGGCGAAUGCGGCUCGGAGUCGGGCCGCGGCGGGAGGGAGGAUGCUCCGGCCCGAGUCCCGAGAGGCCGGGGUGCUGCGCUGACGGCGUCGGGGAAAUUGAAAAUGGCCCUUCAGCAAUGCUAGGUCUAUAAUGGGAAGUGUCACAGUUCGAUAUUUCUGUUAUGGAUGCCUUUUUACAUCUGCAGCCUGGACACUUUUGCUUUUUAUUUAUUUCAACUUCAGUGAAGUGACUCAGCCACUUAAGAAUGUGCCCAUCAAGGGGUCUGGGCCCCAUGGACCAUUCCCCAAAAAAUUUUAUCCCCGUUUCACUAGAGGCCCAAGUCAAGUAUUAGAAUCACAGUUCAAAGCAAACAAAAUUGAUGAUGUGAUAGAUAAUCACGUUGAAGAUCCAGAAAGAGGCAAUGUGAAAUUCUCUUCUGAAUUGGGUAUGAUUUUUAAUGAACGAGAUCAGGAGUUGAGAGACUUGGGGUAUCAGAAACAUGCCUUCAAUAUGCUGAUUAGUAACCGCUUGGGCUACCACAGAGACGUGCCAGAUACGAGGAAUGCGGCAUGUAAAGACAAGUCUUACCCGGCGGAUCUGCCAGUUGCUAGUGUUGUUAUCUGUUUCUACAAUGAAGCUUUGUCUGCCUUGCUGCGGACGGUGCACAGUGUCCUGGACCGCACGCCCGCCCGGCUUCUUCAUGAAGUCAUCCUCGUGGAUGAUGACAGUGACUUCGAUGAUUUGAAAGGAGAACUAGAUGAAUACAUACAAAAAUACCUCCCUGGAAAAAUCAAAGUGAUAAGAAAUCCAAAGCGCGAGGGCUUGAUUCGAGGAAGAAUGAUUGGAGCGGCCCACGCCACAGGAGAAGUCCUGGUGUUCCUGGACAGCCACUGCGAGGUGAACGUGCUGUGGCUGCAGCCCUUGCUGGCCGCCAUCCGGGAGGACCGGCGGACGGUGGUGUGCCCGGUGAUUGACAUCAUCAGCGCCGACACACUGGCCUACAGCUCGUCCCCUGUGGUGCGGGGGGGCUUCAACUGGGGGCUGCACUUCAAGUGGGAUCUCGUCCCGCUCUCCGAGCUCGGGGGACCGGAGGGAGCGACUGCACCAAUAAGGUCACCUACGAUGGCUGGAGGAUUGUUUGCCAUGAACAGAGACUAUUUCAAUGAACUUGGACAGUAUGACAGUGGCAUGGAUAUCUGGGGAGGAGAAAAUUUAGAAAUAUCUUUUCGGAUCUGGAUGUGUGGAGGUAAGCUGUUCAUCAUCCCCUGCUCUAGAGUUGGACACAUUUUCCGGAAAAGGCGGCCGUAUGGGUCCCCCGAGGGCCAGGACACUAUGACGCACAACUCCCUGCGGCUGGCACACGUGUGGCUGGACGAAUACAAGGAGCAGUAUUUUUCUUUAAGACCUGAUCUGAGAACCAGAAAUUAUGGAAACAUCAGUGAGCGUGUUGAAUUGAGGAAGAAGUUGGAUUGUAAAUCAUUUAAAUGGUAUUUGGAUAACAUUUACCCGGAGAUGCAGAUAUCUGGGCCCAACGUCAAACCCCAGCAACCCAUUUUUAUCAACAGAGGGCCAAAGCGCCCCAAAGUCCUUCAGCGCGGAAGGCUCUACCACCUUCAGACCAACAAGUGUCUGGUGGCCCAGGGCCGCCCGAGCGAGAAGGGAGGCCUCGUAGUGCUCAAGGCAUGUGACUACAGUGACCCAAACCAGGUUUGGAUUUACAAUGAAGAACAUGAGUUGGUCUUAAAUAAUCUCCUUUGCCUGGAUAUGUCAGAAACUCGCUCAUCUGACCCCCCGCGACUCAUGAAGUGCCAUGGGUCCGGAGGCUCCCAGCAGUGGACCUUUGGGAGGAAUAACCGGCUGUACCAGGCGUCAGCGGGCCGGUGCCUCAGACCAGCUGAUCCACGGAGUCGCAAAGGCUCUGUUGCCAUGGCGAUCUGUGAUGGCUCCUCCUCACAGCAGUGGCAUUUGGAAUCUUAAGGCGGACGCUGUGGUCGGAACGUGACUGUCCAGCUCAUCCCCACCACGGAGCUGAAGAAGUGUGCUUCCCCAGGAGGUUGAAGUCAUUUCUGGACUGCUGUUAAGGAAUUUCUUCCUUAUGGUGUGACUCCGAGGUGACAAAGCAGGGCAUACAAAAACCAUCUGCAUGGAGAUGAGUACAGUUCAGUGUAAGAGACCAGAAGAUCACUGGAAAUGAACCGAGAAUCCAAGCAGCCAGGCACACGCGAACACUUCGUGAAGUAACUUGGUGGUACUGAAAUUCAGUUUUAUAUGGAUGGGUUAUAUAUUACUAAAUGGUGCUCCCACAACUGGUUACUCAACAGGAAAAAAAAAAAAGUCUUAAAACACAAAAAAUAAAAUCACUGAAACAAAAAGAAUCUAAUAAACUACAUAUGCAAUCUACAGUCUUAACCAAAAAUAGAAACUAUAGAAAAUUAUAUGU